UACGUAGGGUGCGAGCGUUGUCCGGAAUUAUUGGGCGUAAAGGGCUCGUAGGCGGUUUGUCGCGUCGGGAGUGAAAUCCACUGGCUUAACUGGUGGCUUGCUUCGAUACGGGCAGACUGGAGGUAUGCAGGGGAGAACGGAAUUCCUGGUGUAGCGGUGAAAUGCGCAGAUAUCGUGAGGAAGACCAGUGGCGAAGGCGGGUCUCGUGGACGAGUUCCUGACACUGAGGCACGAAGGCCAGGGGAGCAAACGGGG
rnacentral:rRNA from 1 species